AGGAUUGCCAGGCAUCAGAAUUGCAGCCACCGUUUCUUAUGCCUCAACCGUUAAAGGCAACCCAUCAGCCACAAGGGGCUCAAUAACAAGUGAAAAUCUCGCCUGGAAACACGAGACCAGUUAACUUUCUAAAAUGGGCGUUGUAAAGGAUUUUCGAGAGGCUUUUAAAGGCGUUUGCCCGUGUUUACAUGCACGUAACACGUUCGAGUGGUUUUCUAGAGUGGGAUUAGGAGUCAUUUUUCUCCUCGUUUUGCCGUCUCAGACCGUCGGGAUGUUCACAUCACACUGGGUGUACAGUGACAACUGCUCAGAUCUUAAUUUACUGUAUAAAGAUUGUGGUAAUGCAACAAUUAGUGGUCCAAACGCUUUAGGAUCAUCUGCAUUUGGCUUCUUAUAUUAUCCUGCUAGGCACCAUACUGGUUUAUAUCGGUAUACUAUGUUGCUUCUGCAGAAGUGACGAAGGUGAAAAAGAGAAUCCAAUUGGAAAGUUUUGUUUUCCUUGCUUUAUUCCUAUAGGAUGUCUGGUGUCAGGAAUAAUGAAUUUCGUCAGCUGCAUGGAAAUAAACAACCUACCGUAUGACCAGCGUGGAUAUUCUUACUAUCUUUGUUUAGUCUCCGGUGUAGUUCUGUUCUCCAUGGGGCUCAUUUUCUUUGUUGGUUACUUCGUACAUGAAUAUAGAAACAAAUGCAAAUGUUCUAACUACAGCUGUGAAGAGUGAACGUUGCUUUAUACGAUAUCUUAACAUUUAGAAACUAUGCCGUAUAGCAACACAUAUAUAGUACCACUCAUGUAAUAAAAUAUUGAUGCCUUUUCUGCUUUGUCACUUUCUAAUUUAUCUAAUCUAUUGUUAUUCUAUAUAUGCUAAAUAUAUGCUAUAUUUUAGAAAUAAAUCUCUUUGUAGUUGCA